AGGAAAUGCUGAUUCUUUCCUUUUGUUGGUUGAGGUAAUAGGUUGAACAAAUUGACCUUUUUGUGUGUUUGCUUCUUGGUUUGGCGCUUUCUAUCUAAUAUUUUCUUGUUCCCUAAGCUAUAAGGAGAAACCGCAAUAGGAACUCUUAUUCUCUCACUCUCAGCUGUUUGUAGACCUAGCCAUUGCAGCCGCACCAAGAACUAAGAACAAUGACCAACAAGUCCUCUGAGACCAAGCAAGCUUUCUUCGUCUUCGGAGCCUUGGCGAUGGGCUGGCUCGCCAUUGAGAUGGCUUUCAAACCCUUACUCGGUAAGGCCCGCUCCGCCAUGGACAAAUCUGAUCCCGCUCGGGAUCCUGACGAACUUCUCGAUCACACCUCAUCUGAUGACGAUCGAAAUGCCACUGGCACUGCUUAAACCAGCAAUCUCAAGGUACGCUUGACAGAGUGGGAUGGUGGUGAAUAGUUUGCCCCCAUCGUGUUCUGGUCGUGCUGUACGAGAUUUGGAAUUUUAGAUCUUACUACUCUGUAUCGUAAGGUUCGGUACUAGACCGUUUUAAUUGAAUUAAUAGUGAUUCGGUUCUUACUUUUAUAAUUUGUGCCUCUACAAUUGGUAUGUGUUUGUUUUGGCUACUGUAAAUCUAACUACAAGCUCGGAACUGGGAGGUGUAUUGAUUGCCUGUUCGAGGAAUGGUUUAAAAGAAAUAAGGUGUUUAUAAUAUGUUUGAUGUGGUGGGUUUGUGACAAUGCUGCUACGUGUUGCACACUUCUGUAUAAGAAUGAACUGAAUCAAAGCCCCUGCUCAUGAGCUUUUUCUCAUAGACAAAUUACUCUCUUUUGAAGAUUAGAUUGGUAGAAACAAAGGCUUGUCUAUUGGAAACAAUUUUCUCUCGUGCCCACGAUAGAGUUGAUAUUUAACUUAGAUGUUGUCAAAUGUUAUUUGGGUGAUUUGGCCUUAUCACGAAGAUUUUGGAACGGACAACUGAUAUUAGGCAACAAAUUUGAGUAAAACCGGCAAUUGACCCAAAAUUGGUUAUGCUAAUUUCGAAUGAAUUGAAUUCUAAAAUUAAUGGAAACGAACCUUUUACUUAUGUCACAAAGCAUUUAGAUUGCUUUGGCUACUUUCUUUGGCCCUCAUUUGUGCUCCUCCCCCAUAUCCUCCGCUCUUGUUUCUCUUUCUCCUCUUCAAAAAUUGGAAGAAAAGCCAUCCUCACAUAUCUCUUUCAGAUCACCGUAGUCGUGAUAAACGGUUGGAAGGUGGCUAGAAGCACGAUCAUAAAGGUUAGUUGGAGCAUGUGAUGAAUGGUCAGUUGGUGACUUGAAGCACGGUCAUCGAAGCAGGUGAUGAACACUCGAACAGAGUCCCAGGUGCGGGAGAGAGAGGGAGGGAAGAAGGAUGAGAGUGUGGGGUGGGGGGGGUGCUGUCUCAGGGUAUUGCAUAAGUCAAAGGAGGGGUGGCUCAUCUGUAGGGACAAAAAGGAUGGAAUGGAGAGACAACGAUGCAAAUGGUUGCACCUGAAUUGUUGAAUAAACAUGAUCAAAUCGAGAGAGCUUUCAUCCAUCUGGUCUGGGUGUAGCGUUUGGAAAAAAGAAAAAAAGAUUCUACAAUACACAUUUUUCCAACCAAUCUGUGAGCUUCUUGUUCUAAUUUCUGAAAUGUUAAGAUAUGAUUGCGAGAUUCUUGUUUUCUGAAUCACUAGGGUAACUCCAACAUUAAACACGACUCAACUGCUUUGAUUUAGUUGAACAACCAUACAUCUAACACUUGUUGCUUUUUCAAGUAUCA